rfam:Danio rerio chromosome 4, GRCz11 reference primary assembly.
GUCUCUGUGGCGCUAUAGGUUAGCGCGUUCGGCUGUUAACUGAAAGGUUGGUGGUUCAACCCCACCCAGGGACG